UACGUAGGGGGCAAGCGUUGUCCGGAUUUAUUGGGCGUAAAGAGCGUGUAGGCGGCCAGGUAGGUCCGCUGUGAAAACUCGAGGCUCAACCUCGAGAUGUCGGCGGAAACCAUCUGGCUAGAGUCCGGAAGAGGAGAGUGGAAUUCCUGGUGUAGCGGUGAAAUGCGUAGAGAUCAGGAAGAACACCGGUGGCGAAAGCGCUCUGCUAGGCCGCAACUGACACUGAGGGACGAAAGCUAGGGGAGCGAAUGGG
rnacentral:rRNA from 1 species